AUGAACGCUGGCGGCGUGCCUAAUACCUGCAAGUCGAGCGAACAGACGAGGAGCUUGCUCCUCUGACGUUAGCGGCGGACGGGUGAGUAACACGUGGAUAACCUACCUAUAAGACUGGGAUAACUUCGGGAAACCGGAGCUAAUACCGGAUAAUAUAUUGAACCGCAUGGUUCAAUAGUGAAAGACGGUUUUGCUGUCACUUAUAGAUGGAUCCGCGCCGCAUUAGCUAGUUGGUAAGGUAACGGCUUACCAAGGCAACGAUGCGUAGCCGACCUGAGAGGGUGAUCGGCCACACUGGAACGGAGACACGGUCCAGACUCCUACGGGAGGCAGCAGUAGGGAAUCUUCCGCAAUGGGCGAAAGCUUGACGGAGCAACGCCGCGUGAGUGAUGAAGGUCUUCGGAUCGUAAAACUCUGUUAUUAGGGAAGAACAAAUGUGUAAGUAACUAUGCACGUCUUGACGGUACCUAAUCAGAAAGCCACGGCUAACUACGUG
rnacentral:rRNA from 1 species